rnacentral:rRNA from 1 species
GACGAACGCUGGCGGCGUGCUUAACACAUGCAAGUCGAACGGUAAGGCCCUUCGGGGUACACGAGUGGCGAACGGGUGAGUAACACGUGGGCAACCUGCCUCAUAGAGGGGAAUAGCCUCCCGAAAGGGAGAUUAAUACCGCAUAAAAUUAUCGAGUGGCAUCACAUGAUAAUCAAAGGAGUAAUCCGCUAUGAGAUGGGCCCGCGGCGCAUUAGCUAGUUGGUGAGGUAACGGCUCACCAAGGCGACGAUGCGUAGCCGACCUGAGAGGGUGAUCGGCCACAUUGGGACUGAGACACGGCCCAGACUCCUACGGGAGGCAGCAGUGGGGAAUAUUGCACAAUGGGGGAAACCCUGAUGCAGCAACGCCGCGUGGGUGAUGAAGGUCUUCGGACUGUAAAGCUCUGUCUUUGGGGACGAUAAUGACGGUACCCAAGGAGGAAGCCACGGCUAACUACGUGCCAGCAGCCGCCGCCG